rnacentral:rRNA from 1 species
UACGGGGGGGGCAAGCGUUGUUCGGAAUUACUGGGCGUAAAGGGCUCGUAGGUGGCCAACUAAGUCAUACGUGAAAUCCCUCGGCUUAACCGGGGAACUGCGUCUGAUACUGGAUGGCUUGAGGUUGGGAGAGGGAUGCGGAAUUCCAGGUGUAGCGGUGAAAUGCGUAGAUAUCUGGAGGAACACCGGUGGCGAAGGCGGCGUCCUGGACCAACACUGACACUGAGGAGCGAAAGCCAGGGGAGCAAACGGG